rnacentral:rRNA from 1 species
UACAGAGGUCCCGAGCGUUGUUCGGAUUCAUUGGGCGUAAAGGGUGCGUAGGUGGCGCUGUAAGUGGGGUGUGAAAUCCCGGGGCUUAACUCCGGAACUGCAUUCCAUACUGCGGUGCUUGAGUACUGGAGAGGAGACUGGAAUUUACGGUGUAGCAGUGAAAUGCGUAGAGAUCGUAAGGAAGACCAGUGGCGAAGGCGGGUCUCUGGACAGUACCUGACACUGAGGCACGAAGGCCAGGGGAGCAAACGGG